CAGAGGUGCUGAGAUGGCUACUACGUUGAGGAGAGGGCCAAUGGUUAAUGACUGAGCAACAUCAUUUGUACAAAGUAAUGUGAGGGGAGAGUUCCCUGGCCCCCAACACAGGAUGGAUGUGCAACAGGGGUGUGGCUCUCUGUUCAGCUGCUGUGAGCUCAAACCCCUUACUGGAGGGGGAGUACACAGAUGGUCAGGUGCAGGAGUCAAGGCUUUACAAAUGGAAGAGCAGAAGAGCAGCAGAGCAGCGUGGCAUAGAAGGAGAGAAGAAAGGAGUAUCUGGACAUUGAGAGGAAUUCAGCUGAGGAUGGUUGGAGAGGAAGUCAGCUGUGGGAUGGCUGAACUCCAGAGGAGGAAGUCUUCCCACUCCAUCCCCUUUCCAGCUCCUCAUCCAUCCCACUGAGAGCCACCUCCACACACAAGAAAAUCCCUGAAUUUACCUUGUGUCAAGUUCGAGUGACCUGAUUCUUCCUGUAUGCCAGACAAGGACUCAGGUACCAAGAGGGUAGGGUGUAAAAAGCUGUCACCCUGACUCUCCAUUGAGCUGGUUUAACACUUAGCCAUCUACGGAUAGCAACUGCUAAAAGAGCAUUAAUUGUAACACACCCUUAGAUGCUACCAUGGGGUCAAAGCCCAAAAGUGCUCACCCCAGCUCCUGCACCUGCCUGUCUGCAGGCCCCCCUCUCAUAAGGGGUUUGAGCCUAUGGCAGCUAAACAAACACACCACACCCCUGUUGCAAGUCCUAUGACAGGAUCAGGGAACUCCCUUCUUUCAGUAAUAUCUAGUGGUAAUAUAUUUUACCAUCAUUGUAGCAAAUAUAGGUAACAAUGGAUUUAUUCUUGGUUUUAAAUAACUCUCUGGAAUAAUGAUAGUUUCCAUCUUUGUCAUUGAAAUGUUUUGACAAUUAAUGCAUUCCUAUUUUCUGAUAAAUUUUCAACCUUGUUCUCACAUUGGUGAGACCCUCUGCUUUUGCUGUGGAAUAUACUGAAGUUACAAAGUCAUUAGUGCUGUAUGAGUGAUCGCC
rnacentral:lncRNA from 10 species